CCCAGUAAACGGCGGCCGUAACUAUAACGGUCCUAAGGUAGCGAAAUUCCUUGUCAGGUAAGUUCUGACCCGCACGAAAGGCGUAAUGAUUUGGGCACUGUCUCAACAGCCCGCCCGGCGAAAUUGUAGUACUGGUGAAGAUACCAGUUACCCGCAACUAGACGGGAAGACCCCAUGGAGCUUUACUGCAGCUUAAUACUGGAAUUCGGUAACCCAUGUACAGGAUAGGUGGGAGGCUUGGAAGCAGGGGCGUCAGCUCUUGUGGAGCCGCCGGUGGGAUACCACUCUUGGAUUGCUGAAUUUCUAACCUGCGGCCGUGAAUCCGGUCGGGGGACACUGUUAGGCGGGCAGUUUGACUGGGGCGGUCGCCUCCUAAAGAGUAACGGAGGCGCUCAAAGGUUGGCUCAGCACGGACGGAAAUCGUGCAGUGAGUGUAAACGUAGAAGCCAGCCUAACUGCGAGACCGACGGGUCGAGCAGUAACGAAAGUUGGAGUUAGUGAUCCGGUGGUAUGUGAGUGGAAAUGCCAUCGCUCAACGGAUAAAAGCUACCCUGGGGAUAACAGGCUGAUCUCCCCCAAGCGUCCACAGCGACGGGGAGGUUUGGCACCUCGAUGUCGGCUCGUCACAUCCUGGGGCUGAAUUCGGUCCCAAGGGUUCGGCUGUUCGCCGAUUAAAGUGGCACGCGAGCUGGGUUCAGAACGUCGUGAGACAGUUCGGUCCCUAUCUGUUGCGGGCGGAAGAGAUUUGAAGGGAGCUGUCCUUAGUACGAGAGGACCGGGAUGGACGUACCUCUGGUGCACCAGUUGUCCUGCCAAGGGCAUAGCUGGGUAGCUAAGUACGGACGAGAUAAACGCUGAAAGCAUCUAAGCGUGAAACUCCCCCUAAGAUGAGAUCUCUCACCUCGAAAGAGGGUAAGGGCCCAGGAAGACUACCUGGUAGAUAGGCCGGAGGUGGAAGUGCAGUAAUGUAUGGAGCUGACCGGUACUAAUCGCCCGAGGGCUUGACCUA
rnacentral:rRNA from 1 species